UGAUGACUGUUCCUCCUAUUGCCUUCAGGCCUUGGCACUAGGAUUUUAGGUCAUCAUAAAUUAAAAUUUGAUUUUCUUCACUCAGAGAAUAUUACGAUAAUGGGAUUAUCUGUUUAUUCUCUGAAAUUUGCGGAAUCAAACAUCU
ensembl:snoRNA SNORA79 small nucleolar RNA, H/ACA box 79